UGGGGAAUUUUGGACAAUGGGCGAAAGCCUGAUCCAGCAAUGCCGCGUGUGUGAAGAAGGCCUUCGGGUUGUAAAGCACUUUUGUCCGGAAAGAAAUCCUUGGCUCUAAUACAGUCGGGGGAUGACGGUACCGGAAGAAUAAGCACCGGCUAACUACGUGCCAGCAGCCGCGGUAAUACGUAGGGUGCAAGCGUUAAUCGGAAUUACUGGGCGUAAAGCGUGCGCAGGCGGUUUGCUAAGACCGAUGUGAAAUCCCCGGGCUCAACCUGGGAACUGCAUUGGUGACUGGCAGGCUAGAGUAUGGCAGAGGGGGGUAGAAUUCCACGUGUAGCAGUGAAAUGCGUAGAGAUGUGGAGGAAUACCGAUGGCGAAGGCAGCCCCCUGGGCCAAUACUGACGCUCAUGCACGAAAGGCGUGGGGAGCAAACAGGAUUAGAUACCCUGGUAGUCCACGCCCUAAACGAUGUCAACUAGUUGUUGGGGAUUCAUUUCCUUAGUAACGUAGCUAACGCGUGAAGUUGACCGCCUGGGGAGUACGGUCGCAAGAUUAAAACUCAAAGGAAUUGACGGGGUCAUAGCUGUUUCCU
rnacentral:rRNA from 1 species